GUCAAAACGUUAACACAGAUCAGACACGGACAGAGUAGGAUUAGUUCAGUUUCAAGGGUGUUUUUUAAAAUUAUAGUUCCAAAGAAAAUAAUAAGUCUCCCCCAUGAGACCCCCUCCGGGUUACCGUCUUCUGGGCUCCGGGUCUUGCUGGAUCCUGUGGGGAUCAAAAACUGAACUCACUCCUGUUACCUCUGGAACUGUCCCCAACUAUACGGGAGUCCUUUCUUCCACCAGUAUCUUUCCUGUGUGCUGCCCCUCUGGCAGCUUUAUGGGACUUGUACAGCUGGUGAGCAAUCAGCCCCAAUUAAUCCUGGCCGGAGAGCCCAUCGAGACCUGGCACGUCCAGCAGAUGGAGCCGUCGCCUCUUGAUGUAUACUCCGUCUGUCACCAGGCCUCGACGAGUGUCCCCCUGGUGGCUGACCUGCUACUGUCAAGGAGAGGAUGAUACAUUUGGCCUAUGCUCAGGGAGAGAUGCCGGAGGAGGUCAAGGAGGAACUCUGUGGACAAUGGCCACAGGCCCUCAGGGUCCCAGCCAUCCUCUAGCGUCAACUCGGAUACAAAUGGAGAUAGUCAACCUUUAAAAUGAAGAAAGACACUGAAAGAUCCAGGACUAAGACCCAGAAGUAAAAACACUCAUCAGCCCUGUGAACAUAAUCUUUCAUCCAGAGCUGCCCUUAUAUUUUAGAUAAAUAAUAAUAUUUCUGUCUGCUUGCUUUUUCUGUCAAAGUGUAGCCUAACAUGGUAACAACAAAAUAUGUUACAUCAUUUCUACAGGCCUAAUCCUUAUUCAACAAUCAACUAUCUCAUGAUUCAGUAUUUGAUUAUUUAACCAGUCAGCUUCAUGGCAGCCUUGGGGAUCAGGAUUGUAGGUGCACCUCACCACAGAGUGGUGGUGCGGUCUGCCUAAUGAAUCACAGGAAGGCCAUCAAGGACCUCAACCACCCGAGCCACGGCCUGUUAAUCCCACUACUGUAGUCAAUGAACAGCUGAGCGGUAGUCAAUGAACAGCAUUCUCACAUAGGUGUUCCUUUUGUCUAGGUGGGAAAGGGCAGUGUGGAUUGCGAUUGAGAUUCCAUCUGUGGAUCUGUUGGGGCAGUAUGCAAAUUCUAGUGGGUCAAGGGUUUCUGGGAUAAUGGUGUUGAUGUGAGGCAUCACCAGCCUUUCAAAUCACUUCAUGGCUACCGACGUGAGUGCUACGGAGUGGUAAUCAUUUAUGCAAGUUACCUUUGCUUUCUUGGGCACAGGGGCUAGGGGGGGUC
ensembl:lncRNA